AUGUGGCCUGAGGGUUUUCAUGACCACCGCUGUGCUUCAGAAAUUACUCUGCACCGCCGACAGCAAAUCCGCUACCCUUGGACUCCUGGGUGCACUUCAGAUUGACACGACAGGCUUCGUAACCCACUUCCAUAGCUAGAUCUGUGACACAGUUCAAGGGCCUCGGUGCUUUGCAUUACCUGCCAACUCAUUAACGUGGGGAAGGGAGCCAUGGGUCUGCGCAGUCUGUAAGUAGCGACUCUAUACCCCGGAGCUUCGCUCCUCUUUAUAAAGUAGUUGGCAUCUCUGUGCAGCCAAGAACCUCCCAGCUUUUAAUCACCCGACCACGUGGGCUUCGCCCCUCUGCAGCUGGCACUAGCUUGGAACAAUACGUGACUUGGGUAGCAUCGCUCUCUCAUGUCGGCGCAGUUACCAUUGUUCACAGGCAGCCCUAUCAGCAGCCCUGCCGCCAGGCCCAGACCCACCCACGACUUGGUUCAUUGUGCUCUAAUGGACUUUUCAGGGCAAUCCCACACUCCCACGCCUCUUGGGAUUUCCUCUGCCCAUUUUGAAAGCUGUCGUCGGCAUGGGGACGUGGACCCUUAUUUGGAUACAUACAGGCCUGAUCACAAAAGCGCGCGAAAUGCUGCGGCAUCUAGACUGAUGUGGAAAAGCCCAAUAAAGCGAGCCCAUGGCAGAGAGGUACCAGCCUUUGUAUUAGACAGCCCAAACCCUCUCUGCGAGGAGCUCCCUCAAGCCCAAGUCUCCCCUCCCUUUAGCAAAGGGGGCAACCGAAAUCUGACCGAGUAGGCUGGUGCGUCUAGCUGCCCUUCAUUGUUGGAAGGCGAAGCUCCAGUUGCCCCAGUGUGUCUCUUACCCCGGGGGGAGGAAGGAGAAGCAAGUCGCCAGCCUACAGGAGAAGGGAGGAAAAGCGUGCUUUGGAAUAACCUCCCAGGCCCCACACAGACACAUUCCUGUGGUGGAAGAGCCCUGCCAGUGGCCUCCCCAUCCUGCAAGUCCUUCCCGCAGCAGCCGGGGGAAGCCAGGCACUCACUGUGCUGGCUCUUGGAGAUUUAGACUUGAAAGCUGGCGAGAACCUCCCUGCCUUUAGCGGCUUGACCCUCUCUGGAGAGCAAAUCCCUUCAUGGCUGGGUGACAUAGCCCAGCUCCCACCUGCCCACUGGCAACUAGGUUUAAUAAAACAU